CGCACGGGUGAGUAACACGUAUCCAACCUGCCGUCUACUCUUGGACAGCCUUCUGAAAGGAAGAUUAAUACAAGAUGGCAUCAUGAGUCCGCAUGUUCACAUGAUUAAAGGUAUUCCGGUAGACGAUGGGGAUGCGUCCCAUUAGAUAGUAGGCGGGGUAACGGCCCACCUAGUCUUCGAUGGAUAGGGGUUCUGAGAGGAAGGUCCCCCACAUUGGAACUGAGACACGGUCCAA
rnacentral:rRNA from 1 species